rnacentral:tmRNA from 1 species
GGGGGCGAUCCGGUCUCGACGGGGGCAAGGAGACUGAGACUGCGUGCCGAGGUUCCGUCGUCUCGUAAAAUGGCGGAAAAACAAUAGUUGCCAAUAGCAACUACGCUCUGGCCGCUUAAUGCGGUCACGUCCUCCUCUGGCUCUUCCUGCGAGGCCAUUGGAAGGGCGACGUCAAUCGUAGGAUAGCCAUCCUUCUCCGCCCGGAGGGGGUGGUGAAAGCUGUCAGGGCUGGUUCUAUAGAUAUCCCGCCUCAUGGAGAUCUGUAGAACGAGACUAGUUAUGAGGAUACGCGCGUAGUGGUCUCUUUCAAUCUGCUUUUGGACGCGGGUUCGAUUCCCGCCGCCUCCACCA